rnacentral:lncRNA from 1 species
GCCUUCCGGCCCCUGCCCCCCCGCCCCGCCCCCCAGCUGCCCCGGGGCGCCGAGAACCGCGGCGACCCUGGACUCGGCGCCAGUGGUGGGCGUGGGCCGGACGGAGCAGCGGGCCUGGAGCUGGGGAGGGGGAAUCUAAGGAGGGGGCAGGAGCACCCCCAGGGAUCCUAGAGGCGAUCCCGGGAUCCUGGUUGGCGUUGGGGGCCGGGUGCGGGAGGGUGAGCCUGCGAGCAUCUCAGCGCCGCACAGCAACGUGCUUCGACCUCUGCAUCUUUGCAGUGGCGCGAAGGGCAGCGCGGCAGGUGCAGGCAGGAGACGCCAAGGGAGAGGAGACGUGGUGCCCCCCCGGAGACUUCCCUAUUACCGCCGCAAAACUGCCCCUGGCGAGCUGUUGGGGUGCCUCGUGUCCGUGAGGUGGGGGCGGGAGAAGUUGGGCAGGAGCUCGGCCGACAGUAACGUAGAAGACACACGUUAAGGGUGGUCUCUCAUCUGCUCACUGAGCUUGUCGCCUCUUCCCGUUUGCCCAUUUAUGCAGCCAGAUGAACUGUAGCCAGUCAUUGCCCUAUGCUUUUCUUAAAGUCAGAGCAUUUUCCCCACAAAUCCUGCCAUAGAUGGGUCCUGGGGGGCGUGCAAGUGACUGUAUCACAGAAACGUAUAGUUCGUCUGAAGACAGGGGAUAGUUUGGCUAGUGUUACACUUCUUACAGAGAUUUUCACUGGCAGCUGCUCUGUGUUCAGGCACUGUGCUGGGUGCCAAUGGAGACAGCGGAGACCACAGCAGAGGACUGCUUUCAUCGUCCAGGUGUUUCCCCUCCCCCACAACCCACAGCUUCAGCUGACCAGAGUUGUUUUCAGGGUAAUUUCCUCUUAAUUACCUACACAUACUUCCUCACAAUUUCAUGUGGCAGUGCUGUUUUGCCCCCGCACUGUAUGCUCUUUCCUUAGCUUCCUGCUUUCCCUUUCCAGUCUUUCUAUUGCUGUUUUAAUAGUCCCUGCCUUUCAAACUCCAUUUCUCUAUUUCUAUUGGUUCCUUUUUCGGGUCCUUCUGAUUCUGAUAGAAAGAAACAUGUAACCCCCACUCAAAGCAAUGAAACCCGGAUCCUCAACAGCAGCAACAGAUUUUGGUAACAAAUCAUUUUGAACCAUAUGACUGCCAAAGUCUGAGCAGAAAGAAGAGAAUUCUGUUAGAAUUCAAACCCUAAGUCUACACUUAAUUGCAUGCUUUAUUCUAAUGGAAGAACUUGCGUAAGCUCCUUGACACCAUCUUGCCAUUAUGCCCAGUCUGCCUGCCUUCUUAUAGAGCAGUAAAACCUGAGAUCCCAGGUGGAAUAUGAAACUACCAGGAAUGGUUCAGGAAGCUGAGAAUGGUUCUGUUGGGAGCAUGGGGAGAGAAGGAAGGACAGCUCCAAAAGGUAUUCGGCUACAUAAACACCUGUUACAUGGGAGAGAGGUCAUACUCUAAGUGAUGGAGACCAACCAUGCCCCUCAUCUGAUGACCUGAAGUUUUGAGAUUGUAUGGGGAGAGAGUGGAAAUAGGGAUGUAGGACACACAAAGAUAAUGAAGGAGCGGUUGCUGAAACUGGGGAAGAAUUUAAACGGGAGAGUGUUGGAAUCUUACAUUCAGCCUUUCCUAUAGGGCAUGGAAUUCAGGCAUUACAGUUCGAGGUCCAUUAGGCAGGUCUUUGGAAAACAAGAGACAGAAUUAAACAGUAGUGUGAGACAUGUAAGUUUAGGUGACUAAGAAUCUCUUGCCAGUAUGGUCGUAGACACUCAGAAGGUCUUUUAAAAAAAAUCAGGAUUUGGGAGAGGUGGGGAAGAUGACCUAAAUAUGAGCUAGCCCAGUAUAACACUUGCAAGUCUCUAAAAAUAAAAUUCGUGAUGAUGUGUCAUCAGUGCUUUGGUGGCAAUGGAGGGUCAGAGCUUCUGCUAGGCUGCGUUUGUCUUCACGCCCCUGAAGUUGCUGGCAAAUCAGAAAAUCAGAAGAGUUUUUAACAUGGAAGGAGGGAGAGGAAAGGGGAAGGUAAUCGGAUUUAUGGGGCCAUCUGGCAGGCCAUGUGUCCCAGGGGCAGAGAUAGCUUUACAGCCAGAACUGGCAGCAAUUUCUAGUGACUCUCCCCAGCCCUCAAAUACCCCCAAACCUGCUUGUAUGAAGCAGUCCUUCUUUAAAAUCAAUGCCUAAAAGAGAUCUGACUGUUCCCAUGGGGUGGUGGAGAUGGAAGGUUGCUGAGAGGAGAAAGGCUGAGAAUCAAAAAGCCUAGUUUAAACCUCAGUGCUUAAAUUGCCUUUACGGGACGAAGACAAGACUGGCGAGUGACUCAGAUUCAAAUGUUGUGAUUCAAAGAGCUUUUCUAUUUGAGUCAUGCCCGAGGAAAGCCUUAUUCUUAUUCCAGGUUUGGAAUUGCCUCUGGGUUCGUGCUCAGAAUCACUAUGCCUGGGGGCACACUCAAGGUGUUCGCGGUCAACAGCAGCUAUGAACAGACCGGUGUUGGUAUAUUGCUCAUGUAAAGUGCUCCUAUGGAUUCCCCCUGAGACUUCAAGUCGUUGCUCCUUGAGGUGAGGGGUCAGUUAGAGAUGAACGGAACCCUGCCAAUGGCCCCACUCCUCCGCUUUAUCCUGCCCGGCAUGGCAGCAGAUUUCCGAUGAAGCAGGGUCUCCCAAGACUCUUGGAACUAGGGGUGAACUGGAACACCUGCCACCUCUUCAGCUGCUAUCAAUGAAUGCAGAUUGUCCUUCUGCAUCUUCCCAGAUCCCUCUGUUGCUCAUCCCCAACCUCGCCCUUUGCAACCGUAAACCCCAGAAGUAAGACUGUCCCUACCGUUAAUCUAAAGCUUUUGCCUGACACCACGCAGACUUUAGGAGUUCAGACAGUUAACAUCUGGGGAACUCGUUACAUUCAUCAAAUAUGAUGGGACCAGGAAAGCUGUUCUAGGGAGGAGAAAAUAAUAACACUAGCCUGAUUCGUGCGAAGAAGUUACUAUUGAUAGAAAAGUAUUUUGAAACUAUAACGUGAUUCAUAUGUGCUAAAUAACUAGUAGAAGUCAGUGUCAUUGACAGCAUGGAUUUAGAAACACUGAACAUUCAAAUCUCAAACUUUGCUGUUAAAAAUGUUUUUCUCUUACUGCCACAAAGGGUCAGUAGUGAGACCCACUCUUUUCCCAAACUGUGUCUUGCUAAAUGGUAGGACUAUAAAAGAGAAAACAACAGAAGAAUAGUUGGACUGUGUAACGCUAUUAAAAAGAUCUGGAAAUCGGGAGACACCUCUUAAUCAGUCACUAGGUUGGCAAUGGUAAUCAGAUGGAUUGAGUGCUUCGAUGCCCCCUGCCAAUCAAGAUCACAUUGGUCCCAAGGCUCCCAUCGUGUUGCACCCUGGUCUAUGCUACUUUGCGAUGAGAGACCCAGCUAAGAGCACAAGUUGUUUUCUCGCAAGGCUGAGCACCUCCACAGCCUGUGCUAGGAGAACUCUCUCUCUUUCUGUUAACCUUUUUAAGCCCUUGAUGAUUUCAGAACAAUUCUGUCUGAAGACCCAAUUCAUUCCUACUGUAUUUUAUGAUGGAGAAUUCCAAAAUCUCUCACCUGAGAAUUUCUUCAAAUGCUGAAUUCUUCAAAUUAUUGGCCGGGGGUGGAGGGGUGGCUGCACCGUGGGGAAGGAGCGAGGGGAGUGAAGACCACUCACCAGGAAGCUUCCUGCCCACUCCCAGACAGAGGCAAUGGCGACCCUUCGGGAAUGAAGACUAGCUGCACUCCUAAUUUUCUCCCCAAGAAUCUCAGCUCUGAUACCUUUGUAUUUGGGGUCUUACACACAGAAUUCAUUCCCUUCGUUCAUUGAUAUAAACAAAUA